GCCACCCUGGCCCCGUCGCCGCCGCCCACCCCGACAGGCCUUCCGUCGCCGGCCGCUCAGCCCCAUCGCCACCCUGACCCCAGCGCACCUCUCGCCGCCGACCGCUCGGCCCCGUCGCCGGCCCCAACCCCAACGCGCCUCCCAUAGACGGCAGCUCGGCCCCAUCGCCGCCCCGACCCCAGCGCGCCUCCCGCAGCCGGCCGGUCAGUCCCAUCGCCGCCCCCGAUCCCUGUGCGGCUCCGUCUGCCAGCUGCUCAGUCCAGGCAGGCCUUCCGCCACCGACCCAACCGGCCCGACGCACCCCAAGCCGCUGGACCUCCAUCGGCCAUCGCAACCAACGACCGCCGUCGCGCCCGCCGCAGUUGCCCCAGCUAACGGACAUCCUCACCCCGCAACCCCCGCCAUCCUCCUCUCCACGCAUCGGCUGUUGCCUGCCUCCCGCCCGACACUGCUUCCUGAACUUCCUACCGCAUACCAGUUUCCUUCAUCGCGACUCCUCCUGUCGAUGGUGUAUCAUCAUUUCUGGAAAAAAGCAGCGGAUGGAUAGGCUCGAUGUGUGUGUUCAGCCAUCAUCACACACACUCAAACGUCGACAGCAUGUACAACACCAUCGGUGAGCUGAAGCACAUCGUAGCCGUGGAUAUUUACCAAGGCAAGGAUCCUCCGUGCCGCUCUGCUGCUCGCUACCCACAUGAAC